rnacentral:tRNA from 1 species
AAGGCCCUAGCUUAAUCAAAGUGUCUGGGUUGCAUUCAGAAGAUGCAGGGUAGUGACCUGCGGGCUUUA